rnacentral:rRNA from 1 species
UACAGAGGUCCCAAGCGUUGUUCGGAUUUACUGGGCGUAAAGGGCGCGUAGGCGGCGUGGUAAGUCACUUGUGAAAUCUCUGAGCUUAACUCAGAACGGUCAAGUGAUACUGCUGUGCUAGAGUGCGGAAGGGGCAAUCGGAAUUCUUGGUGUAGCGGUGAAAUGCGUAGAUAUCAAGAGGAACACCUGAGGUGAAGACGGGUUGCUGGGCCGACACUGACGCUGAUGCGCGAAAGCCAGGGGAGCAAACGGG